rnacentral:ncRNA from 1 species
UCACGAACAAGGCAAACCAUCCGAAAGGAUGGGACGCAAAGCUUCCGGCCUAAAAGUGGUUAGUUUAUCAAUAACUAAGUUGCUUAUGGUAGCGGGGUUGCCGAU